AUACUUACCUGGCAGGGGAGAUACCAUGAUCAUGGAGGUGGUUUUCCCAGGGCAAGGCUUAUCCAUCGUACUCCGGAUGUGCUGACCCCUGCAAUUUCCCCAAAUGUGGGAAACUCGACAGCAUAAUUUGUGGUAGUGGGGGACUGCAUUCGCACUCUCCCCUG
rnacentral:snRNA from 1 species